rnacentral:rRNA from 1 species
GAUGAACGCUGGCGGCGUGCUUAACACAUGCAAGUCGAACGGGAUCCAUCGGGCUUUGCUUGGUGGUGAGAGUGGCGAACGGGUGAGUAAUGCGUGACCGACCUGCCCCAUACACCGGAAUAGCUCCUGGAAACGGGUGGUAAUGCCGGAUGUUCCAGUUGAUCGCAUGGUCUUCUGGGAAAGCUUUCGCGGUAUGGGAUGGGGUCGCGUCCUAUCAGCUUGACGGCGGGGUAACGGCCCACCGUGGCUUCGACGGGUAGCCGGCCUGAGAGGGCGACCGGCCACAUUGGGACUGAGAUACGGCCCAG